rnacentral:rRNA from 1 species
AACGAACGCUGGCGGCAUGCCUAACACAUGCAAGUCGAACGAGACCUUCGGGUCUAGUGGCGCACGGGUGCGUAACACGUGGGAAUUUGCCUCGGGGUAUGGAAUAACUCAGGGAAACUUGAGCUAAUACCAUAUAAUGUCUUCGGACCAAAGAUUUAUCGCCCUGAGAUAAGCCCGCGUAGGAUUAGCUAGUUGGUGGGGUAAAGGCUCACCAAGGCGACGAUCCUUAGCUGGUCUGAGAGGAUGAUCAGCCACACUGGGACUGAGACACGGCCCAGACUCCUACGGGAGGCAGCAGUGGGGAAUUUUGGACAAUGGGCGCAAGCCUGAUCCAGCGAUGCCGCGUGCAGGAUGAAGGCCUUCGGUUGGUAAC